rnacentral:rRNA from 1 species
UACAGAGGUCCCAAGCGUUGUUCGGAUUCACUGGGCGUAAAGGGUGCGUAGGCGGUCGGGUAAGUCUGAUGUGAAAUCUCACAGCUUAACUGUGAAACUGCAUUGGAUACUAUUCGGCUUGAGAGUUGGAGGGGGGACUGGAAUUCUUGGUGUAGCAGUGAAAUGCGUAGAUAUCAAGUGGAACACCAGUGGCGAAGGCGAGUCUCUGGACAUUUCCUGACGCUGAGGCACGAAAGCCAGGGGAGCAAACAGG